CAAAAGCCCAAGGAAGAGCUGGGCUGGCACCUGAUUUGGAUCAGAAGACCCUUUAAAGUUUUUCUGCAAAGCUUGGGUGAUCAGGAGCCACCUGUCCAUGCCCCAAGACCGGA